rnacentral:rRNA from 1 species
GUGGGGAAUAUUGCACAAUGGGGGAAACCCUGAUGCAGCGACGCCGCGUGAGUGAAGAAGUAUUUCGGUAUGUAAAGCUCUAUCAGCAGGGAAGAACAUGACGGUACCUGACUAAGAAGCCCCGGCUAACUACGUGCCAGCAGCCGCGGUAAUACGUAGGGGGCAAGCGUUAUCCGGAUUUACUGGGUGUAAAGGGAGCGUAGACGGCAGAGCAAGUCUGAAGUGAAAGCCCGCGGCCCAACUGCGGGACUGCUUUGGAAACUGCCCGGCUAGAGUGCUGGAGAGGUAAGCGGAAUUCCUAGUGUAGCGGUGAAAUGCGUAGAUAUUAGGAGGAACACCAGUGGCGAAGGCGGCUUACUGGACAGUAACUGACGUUGAGGCUCGAAAGCGUGGGGAGCAAACAGG